AUUGCCUCAGUAACGGCGAGUGAAGCGGCAAGAGCUCAAAUUUGAAAGCUGGCUCCUCCGGGGUCCGCAUUGUAAUUUGGAGAGGAUGCUUCGGGUGCGGCCCCCGUCUAAGUGCUCUGGAACGGGCCGUCGGAGAGGGUGAGAAUCCCGUCUGGGGCGGGGAGCCCCGUGCCCGUGUGAAGCUCCUUCAACGAGUCGAGUUGUUUGGGAAUGCAGCUCUAAAUGGGUGGUAAAUUUCAUCUAAAGCUAAAUACAGGCCGGAGACCGAUAGCGCACAAGUAGAGUGAUCGAAAGAUGAAAAGCACUUUGAAAAGAGAGUUAAACAGCACGUGAAAUUGUUGAAAGGGAAGCGCUUGCAAUCAGACUCGCCCGCGGGGUUCAGCCGGCAUUCGUGCCGGUGUACUUCCCCGUGGGCGGGCCAGCGUCGGUUCGGACGGCCGGUCAAAGGCCCCCGGAAUGUAGCGCCCCCCGGGGCGUCUUAUAGCCGGGGGUGCCAUGCGGCCAGUCUGGACCGAGGAACGCGCUUCGGCACGGACGCUGGCGUAAUGGUUGCAAGCGACCCGUCUUGAAACACGGACCAAGGAGUCUAACAUCUACGCGAGUGUUUGGGUGGCAAACCCAUGCGCGCAGUGAAAGCGAACGGAGGUGGGAACCCCCCCGGGGGGUGCACCAUCGACCGAUCCUGAUGUCUUCGGAUGGAUUUGAGUAUGAGCGUAGCUGUGGGGACCCGAAAGAUGGUGAACUAUGCCUGAAUAGGGCGAAGCCAGGGGAAACUCUGGUGGAGGCUCGCAGCGGUUCUGACGUGCAAAUCGAUCGUCAAAUUUGGGUAUAGGGCGAAAGACUAA
rnacentral:sRNA from 1 species